AUGGAGGCGGCGGGAGGCGGCGAGGACCCCCCUGUUGGGACCCUCGUGGUGGAGGAGGCGGGAGAGGCCGGUAUCCCCCCGGACAGCCCCUCCCCCUGUGCCCCCCCCACGGCCGGGGGGGCUCCCCCGGAUGAGGAGGAGCAGGGGGGGGCUCUGGAUGGGGAGGGGGCGCAGGGGACCCCCCCUGGGGGCAGCGGAGCCAAGGGGCUGCCAGGCCACGCCACCAAAACCCUUCCAGCUUCCCCAGGCCGAGCUGGAAUUCUGG